AGUAGAAGUGAUCGUUUGCUAGAAACUUCUUUCUUCUCUUCCCUUUCGUAAUUACGGUGUGGUUAAUGAGUCAGAUAAAAGUCAAGUCCAUUUAGUUCUGUGAGUGAUGAAUGCGUUUAUCUCCUCUAUUAAUCUUCUUUCUUCUCUUCCCUUCCCUUUAUCUCUUCCAUCUAUCAAACUUUUUUCUUCUCUAUUUGCUUGUCUGAGUUUGUCUAGUACUUAAGACAUUCAAAAAUGGAUUCCAAUCCAUAUUUGAAUUUAAAUUUUGUUGAUCUUCUUCAAAGUCAACAAGAUAGUGACAUAGGUUUAAGUUUAAUAAAAAAUGUAAAAUUUUUAAGAUCCCUAAAAUAAGAACCUUGCAAUGGAGGAUGAAAAUUAUCAAGUUG
rnacentral:lncRNA from 1 species